UGGGGAAUAUUGCACAAUGGGCGCAAGCCUGAUGCAGCCAUGCCGCGUGUGUGAAGAAGGCCUUCGGGUUGUAAAGCACUUUCAGUCAGGAGGAAAGGUUAGUAGUUAAUACCUGCUAGCUGUGACGUUACUGACAGAAGAAGCACCGGCUAACUCCGUGCCAGCAGCCGCGGUAAUACGGAGGGUGCGAGCGUUAAUCGGAAUUACUGGGCGUAAAGCGUACGCAGGCGGUUUGUUAAGCGAGAUGUGAAAGCCCCGGGCUUAACCUGGGAACUGCAUUUCGAACUGGCAAACUAGAGUGUGAUAGAGGGUGGUAGAAUUUCAGGUGUAGCGGUGAAAUGCGUAGAGAUCUGAAGGAAUACCGAUGGCGAAGGCAGCCACCUGGGUCAACACUGACGCUCAUGUACGAAAGCGUGGGGAGCAAACAGGAUUAGAUACCCGCGUAGUCC
rnacentral:rRNA from 1 species